UCUCAUCUGAUGACUGCUGGAGAUGGGCACCACCAGCCCCCCUCAAAACCCUGCAAGGAUCAGUGUGUUCAGAUCACGAAUGGAAAGCUUUUAAGGCAAAGAAAACACCCAGAAAUGUUUUUCCACCCCAGGCAUCCGGUCCCAAAAAUCAUCAGCUCUAAUGAUGCCACAUAUAUAGCGAGUCCACAACAUCUUAAAAUUGUUUCUGUAAAGUGCAGUGGUCCAGUGAAUGGGAAUGUUCUGUCGUCGAUCCUCACUGUUCUCCACGAUGUGGAGGUUCAUCCUCAGAACUGGUUGGUGAUCUGGUGGAGCCAGAGCUUCUUCUGA